CGUGGAUAUCCUUGCACCCCCUGGCUCAUGACUCCUUACCGUAAUCCCAGGCCAGGACCACAGACGGCAUUUAACUCCGCGCUUACUGCCACUAGGCAGCUGGUGGAGCGCACAAUUGGGGUCCUUAAAGGGCGGUUUCGUGUGCUCCACCGCACUGGUGGCGACAUCAUGUAUUCGCCGGAGAUGGCAAGUAAAAUAGUGGUCCUGUGCGCUAUACUCCACAAUAUCGCGGUAAGGAGUAGCGUAGUGCUUCCUCAGACAGAGGAAUUGCCUGAUGAGGAGCCAGGGGUUGUCCGACACUUCGGUGGGGGGAGUGUUACAAGGAGGGGGAGCCAAGUCAGGGCAAGCAUUGUUGCUGAAUUUUUCAGCUGAAAGACCACACAAACUGAGGACGACCACAACGGCAAGCACCACAUGAUGCACCAGCUCAGCACCCUUCCCCUUCUCACUCCCCCUCCACUUCCCAGUCCCCCUCCCCUUCUCACUCCCCCUCCCCUUCUCACUCCCCCUCCCCUUCUCACUCCCCCUCAGCUUCCCAAUCCCCCUCAGCUUCCCAAUCACCCUCAGCUUCACAAUCCACCUCAGCUUCCCAGUCACCCUCAGCUUCCCAGGCCCCCUCAGCUUCCCAGGCCCACUCCACUUUCCACUCCCCUUCUCAGCCAACCUCUCCUUCUCUUUCUGUGACCCCUUCUCCUCCUUCCCAUACCCCUUCUCCUUCUACUUCGAACUCACCUUCUCAGCCCCCCUCACCCUCUAUUGGCCUAACAUUUUCACCGCCCCCCUCGCCCUCUCAAUCAGACCCACCCUCUGAAAUUACAUCCCCAAUCCAACCUCCUUCCCCCAUCCAGCCUCCUUCCCCCAUCCAGCCUCCUUCCCCCAUCCAGCCUCCUUCCCCAAUCCCUCCUCCUUCCCCCAUCCAGCCGCCUUCCCCCAUCCAGCCGCCAUCCCCACCCAGUGAAUGGGCAGAGGAAGCCCCUGAAGACAGUUCAGGGAGUCUUCAUGUUGCCGAGGAAAAUGUUGCAGUUGGAGAUCCUACAAGUUUUGGAGGCAUUCUUUACACCAUGCGCCAACACCUGCAAGGAUUAAUGCAUUGUGUUGACAAUUUGCAAAAAUUUGCAUGAUUUUGUUUAUUUUAAGAAAAAAAAAAAGAUUUAUUUUAAAAAAUAAAAUAAAAAAAGUUGAUUAAAGUUAA